rnacentral:rRNA from 1 species
CAGUCGCCUCGGGAAUACGUAGGUGGCAAGCGUUGUCCGGAAUUAUUGGGCGUAAAGCGCGCGCAGGCGGAUCAGCUAGUCUGUCUUAAAAGUUCGGGGCUUAACCCCGUGAUGGGAUGGAAACUGCUGAUCUAGAGUAUCGGAGAGGAAAGUGGAAUUCCUAGUGUAGCGGUGAAAUGCGUAGAUAUUAGGAAGAACACCAGUGGCGAAGGCGACUUUCUGGACGAAAACUGACGCUGAGGCGCGAAAGCCAGGGGAGCGAACGGGAUUAGAUACCCCUGUAGUCCCUGUCUCUUAUACA